rnacentral:tRNA from 1 species
AGGGGUGUAGCUCAGUGUUAGAGUACUUACCUAGCAUGUACAAGGCCCUGGGUUUGAACCCCAUCCCCCCCA